UAAGGUGAUUAUAGCGAUGGGGCUCACCUCUUACCUUUCCGAACAGAGAAGUUAAGCCCAUUAGCGCCGAUGGUACUACAUU
rnacentral:rRNA from 1 species